rnacentral:lncRNA from 10 species
UUGAAAGCCUCUCAUUCACUGGGUGCUUCCAGCUCCAAGUGUGUGGUAAUGGUUUCAGAGGGAUUUGGAGAGAAACAGAAUAGUCGAACUUACCUCAUCAAACGACUCCAGUUUUUAUUGUCCCCCCAUAAAGAUAGUCUAAACCUGCUCCCCUGCUUGUGAACUCAGAGUCCUGUUGGGGGACUCAGAAGGUUGUACAUAUAUAUGUGUGAAUAGUUUUCAAAUGUUUCACACAUGUAUGUAUAAAUAAUUUUAAAUGUUUGUGUAUAUUGUCAUGAUUAAUAAAAAGCCCAUUCAUUUAAAA